rnacentral:misc_RNA from 1 species
CACCACUCAAGCCCAGCUUGGUGUUGGGGCACCCGGUCGCCUAGGCGGUCGGGGCCCCCAAGUACAUCGGCGGUCUCGUCUAGACCCUGAACGCAGUAACUCGCGGUAAAACGCGCUUCGUUUGGUUGUUCUGGCGGGCUACUUGCCGCUAAACCCCCCUUUUUCUAA